GUGAACUUUGGGUCUGAUCUCGAUUCGGCGCCCAGCACUUUGUGGAGCUGCUCAGGCGAGAUGGCCUGGCCGGAGGCUGCUGGCCUCCCCCAUGGACAACGAAAUGUGUCGGCUUGAGCAGCUGGUUGAGCUGCCAGCUGGGCCCCUGAGAGGCAGCCUCAUUUCAUUGCCUACUUGAGUUCCCAGGGGACUUGCAACAGCAUUGGAUCCACCUGGAUGACGCAAAUGAACAAGGAGCAGGAGAUUGCAAGCUCUCACGGUGGUGGAGGAAGUGAAUAUUCGAGACGUGAACACCUUUUCCAGCUAUUAAUAUCAGAGACAUAAUAGAGGUGGACAGUUUUGGCUGCAGGAACCCUUAUCAAGGCUUCUACUGUGACAGCGAAUAUGCACCUUAAUGAAUGGCACUGGGGGAAGAUGGAGGUCAGAGGAAGGACUGAUUUGGUGAGACAGCAAGGCUCAGUGCACUUCGUCCUGAACGGUCCAACAUAAAUACCUUUCCACACCACAGGAAUGCCAGAUGCAACCUAUUCUGCCCAGCCCGGCUCAGAAGGGAGAAACGGCUCGAAAGAGGCAUCAUCCUGCCUGCACUUUAUGUGUCUGAAUACUUAAGGACUCAGGCAGUCGUUUCCUUGCACUCCUUGUAUUCGUGCAAGACGGCCGAAAGGAUGUCGAGAAAGGGGAGCUCAUUGCUUGCCACUUCCCGAAGCAAAUGCCCUCCUCUCCCGCGUGAGGACUUACUCGCGAAGGAGCAAGGCCUGCUUUGUCCCCAGCCAGACCCUAGAUGCAAGCAUCUCUGGGCUUCAGUGGAAGAAAGCAGAAGCGGGAUUGAAUGAGUACAUAGGAAGGGAUCACAAGGGAUCGUGUUGGAGUGCAGAUCGGGGCAAAAUGGACUGGUGUGCUUUCAUUUAGCAAAGGAAAAGUUUAAACGUUCCUCUUCCAUCACGCUGCUUCUCCAUUCGUUUUUGCUUGUUCUGCCCUGCAUGUGCGGCUGUCCAGAAGGCUUUCUGCAAGCACACAGAAACUAGAAAGGCCUACUAGAGAGUCCACUGCAGAGGCAAAU
rnacentral:lncRNA from 1 species